UUUUGCAAUUUAAUUUUAAUUUUGUACCUAAGCUUACUUUUAGGUCAAACAAAUGACAAGUUGCUGCAGACCGAAAAUGAAAAGGCAUUAAGAAUAUCGACCAAACACAUUGCAAUGCAUCUAAAACCUACAUUGCUUCACUGCUCAACUCCCCUAAAAACACUGGAAAUUUAGCAAUUUUUGACAUUUCUCUUUUCAGCUUCAAAUACUUUUAUUUCAAAAUCCCAAAAAUUUUAUACAAAUAUACAAAUAAUUUUUCAUUUUAACUCUAAUGAAUUCUAAUUAGCAUCCCGACGUGAUCAGGUAUACCGUGGAGAAUCAGGAAGUAUAUUUUUUUAACGGCAAACAGAUCAGCAAUGAUUUCUUUCGCAACAUAAUUGUUUUACGCGAAAAAAGUGAUGUCAUAUUAAUACUUGGAAAUUAUAAAUAAAAUUAAAUAGUUUUUUUUGAAACAAAGUUUUGCAGCUAAUAAACUCUUUAUUUCAGAAAAUUUUACCCGCAUCAUUUGACCAUUAAGAGCACGCAGAACUACUCACUCAGAGCAUUCCUCCCUUUGAUGGUGCACGUUUCUCUAAUGAGCGCGACUUAUUCAACCAAAUGGGUUAGACGUGGGUGGUGGAAAUCAGCGUUACGGUUUUUCUGCUACAUGUGUUCAAAUAUAUGUCUGUAUGAGGCUUUUGAAAAGCUACCAGCUUGGGUAGAAAUAGAUAAACAUAAGGGAAAAUUACAGCACUCAAAUAAUAUGCAUGCAUGAUUAGCAUGAGGUGCAUACAUAUGUAGAUGUAUGUAACGAAAGUAGUAAAUAUUGAUUUUUCGCACUAAAAUAUCGUAGCGCAAUUGGAGAAAUCUUCAGCUUUCUAGAAAUGCAAUAUUUGGAACAAAAAUGCAUAUUAGUGUCAAUUUUAUACAAUAUAUUUAGCUUAACUAAUGAAUAUAUAUUUUCGCAGAUAAAAAGAAAGCCACACCAAAUAAUAAAUGUGUAUGCAAGUAACUGAAACACAAAAUAAAAUAAUAAUUCAACUAACAAUGAAGUAAUAAUAUUUAUGUAUAUCUGAAAGUUAUUACUGUUGCAAUGUGCCUAUGCAUUUAGGUAUGCAUACAUAUUUAUCGCUGGUUAAAAGAAAAGAAAAAGUACCAGGGCCUAUUGAAAUUCAUUUUUGUUUAUUUUGUGUAAGAUAAACACAACGGCGGCAGGCGCAGAAUGUGGUGGCUUAUUGGAGUCAAUUACACCGAUUAUUUUCAUAUAUGUACAUACAUAGCAAUACUUGUGUAUGUCUGGUUUGAUGC